rnacentral:rRNA from 1 species
ACGGGAGGCAGCAGUGAGGAAUAUUGGUCAAUGGGCGGAAGCCUGAACCAGCCAAGUCGCGUGAAGGAUGAAGGUAUUAUGUAUUGUAAACUUCUUUAGACGUAGAGAAAUAAGGGGCUCGUGAGCCCUGAUGCUAGUAUGCGUAGAAUAAGGAUCGGCUAACUCCGUGCCAGCAGCCGCGGUAAUACGGAGGAUCCGAGCGUUAUCCGGAUUUAUUGGGUUUAAAGGGUGCGCAGGCGGUCUUUUAAGUCAGUGGUUAAAUCGUGAGGCUCAACCUCAUCACGCCAUUGAUACUGGAGGAUUUGAUUGCGGUUGAGGUGGGCGGAAUUCGCCGUGUAGCGGUGAAAUGCAUAGAUAUGGCGAAAAACUCCGAUUGCGUAGGCAGCUGACCAAGCCGUAAAUGACGCUCAUGCACGAAAGUGCGGGGAUCGAACAGGAUUAGAUACCCUGGUA